rnacentral:rRNA from 1 species
GACGAACGCUGGCGGCGUGCCUAAUACAUGCAAGUAGAACGCUGAAGAGAGGAGCUUGCUCUUCUUGGAUGAGUUGCGAACGGGUGAGUAACGCGUAGGUAACCUGCCUUGUAGCGGGGGAUAACUAUUGGAAACGAUAGCUAAUACCGCAUAACAAUGGAUGACACAUGUCAUUUAUUUGAAAGGGGCAAUUGCUCCACUACAAGAUGGACCUGCGUUGUAUUAGCUAGUAGGUGAGGUAAUGGCUCACCUAGGCGACGAUACAUAGCCGACCUGAGAGGGUGAUCGGCCACACUGGGACUGAGACACGGCCCAGACUCCUACGGGAGGCAGCAGUAGGGAAUCUUCGGCAAUGGGGGCAACCCUGACCGAGCAACGCCGCGUGAGUGAAGAAGGUUUUCGGAUCGUAAAGCUCUGUUGUAAGUCAAGAACGGGUGUGAGAGUGGAAAGUUCACACUGUGACGGUAGCUUACCAGAAAGGGACGGCUAACUACGUGCCAGCAGCCGCGGUAAUACGUAGGUCCCGAGCGUUGUCCGGAUUUAUUGGGCGUAAAGCGAGCGCAGGCGGUUUGAUAAGUCUGAAGUUAAAGGCUGUGGCUCAACCAUAGUUCGCUUUGGAAACUGUCAAACUUGAGUGCAGAAGGGGAGAGUGGAAUUCCAUGUGUAGCGGUGAAAUGCGUAGAUAUAUGGAGGAACACCGGUGGCGAAAGCGGCUCUCUGGUCUGUAACUGACGCUGAGGCUCGAAAGCGUGGGGAGCGAUCAGGAUUAGAUACCCUGGUAGUCCACGCCGUAAACGAUGAGUGCUAGGUGUUGGAUCCUUUCCGGGAUUCAGUGCCGCAGCUAACGCAUUAAGCACUCCGCCUGGGGAGUACGACCGCAAGGUUGAAACUCAAAGGAAUUGACGGGGGCCCGCACAAGCGGUGGAGCAUGUGGUUUAAUUCGAAGCAACGCGAAGAACCUUACCAGGUCUUGACAUCCCGAUGCUAUUUCUAGAGAUAGAAAGUUACUUCGGUACAUCGGUGACAGGUGGUGCAUGGUUGUCGUCAGCUCGUGUCGUGAGAUGUUGGGUUAAGUCCCGCAACGAGCGCAACCCCUAUUGUUAGUUGCCAUCAUUCAGUUGGGCACUCUAGCGAGACUGCCGGUAAUAAACCGGAGGAAGGUGGGGAUGACGUCAAAUCAUCAUGCCCCUUAUGACCUGGGCUACACACGUGCUACAAUGGUUGGUACAACGAGUUGCGAGUCGGUGACGGCGAGCUAAUCUCUUAAAGCCAAUCUCAGUUCGGAUUGUAGGCUGCAACUCGCCUACAUGAAGUCGGAAUCGCUAGUAAUCGCGGAUCAGCACGCCGCGGUGAAUACGUUCCCGGGCCU